rnacentral:rRNA from 1 species
UACAGAGGGUGCGAGCGUUGUUCGGAAUUACUGGGCGUAAAGCGCGCGCAGGCGGAUCCUGCAAGUCCGGAGUGAAAUCUCACCGCUCAACGGUGAGGCUGCUUUGGAUACUGCGGAUCUGGAGACCGGUAGAGGCUGGUAGAAUUGCAGGUGUAGCGGUGGAAUGCGUAGAGAUCUGCAAGAAUACCCUGGCGAAGGCGGCCAGCUGGGCCGGGUUCUGACGCUGAGGCGCGAAGCGUGGGGA